CCAACAGAGCUUCUGUGAUUCAGACAUGAGCAGGAGCACUGUGGCAGAGAGACUGGGAAAAGUGGGGAUCUUCUGGUGCCCACUGCAAAAUUCUCUGUUCUCUUGUCCCUAAAAGUAUGUCACCAUUAACACCGCAGACUUGAAGCUAGUUAUUUCCUUUCCAUGAUUCUGCAGGAUGAAGUUGCUGGUAAUAGCACAGCUUCUGAACGCACCAAACUGAAACAGAAGGUACUGGCCCUGAGAGAACACUGUUCAGAACAAGAAAAGUGGAUCAACUGCAAAACUGUUGAUGGAGAGGACAUAGAAUUCAAUUCAAUGAAGAGUUGUCGGUGCAAUUACCAUGAGUAAUCUGCAAAAAAUCUCAUCAAGGACAUAAGGUUGUAUAUUACAGCAAGGAUAUUAAAUGAACUACCUUAUUCUACAUGGCAGCCAGUGCUAAGCGAUUUGUUUUCAGAAGAGCAGUUCAUUUCUCCUCCUGGUUUCUUUUCAUGCUGCUUUAGAGAACUUUCUUGCUGGGACAUAUGUACAUCUUCAAAGCAGUCUCAGUCCCACUUUCAACAAAGAAAUAUAUGCCACACUGCUUAAAAACAUUGAAUCCCUAGAAAUCUCCCACUGAAACC